CCAUCCAUCCGUCUAUCUGGCUGUCGCCAAAAUCAGAGGGGAUUAAUAGUUGGAAAACAAUAUAAGCCUAAAUUUAACAACAUAAUCCAUAAACAUAUCUCUUGAAUCUGAUUGGAUGAUUGCAAUGUUGCAUCAGGAUCAACAUAGAUGGUGAAAUCACACUAACUGCCUGUCUAUCUGUCUUGUUGCUCUAGGACUCCAGGUGUGUCAUGUGACCUGCAUGAAAGCAUGACGACCUGCUUGUUAAGACAUCACAGAGCACUACUGAGGGUAUUGUAUGCACAAAGGCCAGUGUUUCCUGUAAAGUUUGAGUACUUCAACAUACUCAGAUCCUAUAACGUACAUAAAGUUCCUGUUUUCCUCCUUGUGCUCUAAAACAUAAUGAGGAAGUGGUUGCUCACACUAUGACACAGACUGCUUAAGGGACAGACAUUUUGCUUUUUAUCUUAACCGUGUAAGAAGUCUCUUGAUUUUCUGCUCUUUUUGUUAAAGAAUGUUCUCUUCACAUUAAUAAUAAUAAUCACUGAGUGACAGCCGUCCGAAAAUUGAUGGCAUCACAAGAACACUGGCGGCCCAAAGUGGAGGCAGAUCUUAUGACUGGAUGAGGCAAAGGAAACAGACAAGGAUUGAAGGGAAUUACAUAUGACUGCCCCUUCAACUUGCUGCAAGAGUCUUUGCAAACGUUUCCUACUGAUGACAUGAACUGACGCAGACCAAGAUCUUUCUGUGGUGCCACGUGGGCUUUGCCUGUGUGUCAAUUUAGCUACUUCCCUUGGACAAGCAGCCAGAAGAUUAAGCCAGAACAAUUGCAGACUAUCUUUAUAAAGCCAAAACACAACAAUUAAACACCUCCCUGUGUUUUCCCAACCAGUGUGAGUAUUUUAGAGUCUCCAGCUUAUUUGGAGAGGUUGACUUUUUCAGUCAGCUGCUGUUUGCCCUGUUAUAGCUCCCCCUAGCAGCUCCCUCCAUAUUUCCUUGUUCAUGCUAGCCAUGAUAUCUAUUCUCACCCUAUACAGACACCAUGCCAAGACCUGUAAAAAUCCAUAUACACUCAUGCAUUAGGGCCAAUGUACAUCCCAAUGAGCCCAUCCAUCCAUUAGUGGCCUGGCCAUUGGAGAACACAGCUCCUCUUACCUCUUCAGAU